AUGGAUGCAUCCUUUCUGGGCCAAAAUGGGGGAGUGAGACGGAGGAACCAGGCCCAGUUUCUCUCGGAGAAGAAAAAAGAUGUGCCGCGUUCGUUCGCUACGUCGGUAAGUCCAAAACGAAUCCGAUCGGUGCAUCAACACGACUACCUAUAUCAUCGAGCCUCUCGUCAGGUCGUCUCAAUCGUGUGCCGCCCGGUCUCUUCUCUCCGACCAAACCCUAUGGAGCCGCCGCGCCGCACCAAGCGCCCCGCCGGGGACGGCGACGACGACGUGGAGGCCGCCGCCGAAGCACGAGGCUACUACGGCGCCGCGGCCUACGACUUCCUCGACGAUGACGAGCUGGAUGGCUUCUCCUCGCACGGCACAGGCGGCGACAUGGGGUUUAUGGACGAGAACGGCAGCUUCGUGGAGCGCGUGGUGCGGGGCGGCACCAAGGAGGUGGCCUGGCUGGGCGCCGCCCACGUCGACGGCGAGUGCCCCGGCCCCGCGGCCACGAAGCGCGCGAGGAAGGCCCUCGAGAGGCAGGAAGAGGACGAGCGGAUCCUCGAGGGUGUCGUUGGCUCCCGCGCCGUCUUCGACAUCAAGAAGCGGAUUGCGGGCCUCCUCCAGCCCGGUGAGACGGUCCCGCGCGCGCUGCGGAGGCUCAAGGGAGAUAAACGUGGUGGGGGGGAGGGGAUGGACGAGCGGGCUCGGCGCGCGUUCGACGAGCUGAUGGACGCCUCCGCGGAGCUCGUGCGGCGCGGCGACCUCGACGCGUACACGGACGACCGCGAGGCCUUCGAGCGCGCCGCCUGGGACUACGAGCACGCGCGUCGCCGUCGCCGGCUGGCGUGCGCCGCUCCACUAGCCGCCGCCGUUCCGGGGGCUCGACAGGAUGACGACGAAGCUGGCCCACAGACUGCCGCCGCGGCCCGUGACUACUACGUGGACAUGUUCGGUGACGACGCAGUCGAUGUCCGUGCCGGCGCGAAAACGGCGGUCGAUCCAUGCGGUGGACAUGCAGCUAACCCGGAUCAGCCAACAGCGCAGCCUGAUGGUUCCGGUGCGACGACGGAGGAGGAAGCCGGCGGCGUGGCGGGCUGGGACUACGUGUACGAUCCGGCGUCGGGAUACUACUACAGCGGCAGCACGGGGCACUACUACGACGCCGCGUCCGGGUGCUACUGGUCCGCGUCCACGGGCACAUGGUUCUCCUACGACGUCCACGGCGAGGAGGCGAGCACUACUCCGGCGCGCACGUCGGAAUAUUGGAUGUGGUCUUCGUCAGAUCGGCUUUCCAAGUUCAAGUUCAAAGUGACCUUCCUAAGAUCAGGUUUCGGUAGCGCGGAGUUCUUGCACAUGUGA
rnacentral:rRNA from 1 species